rnacentral:rRNA from 1 species
AUUGAACGCUGGCGGCAUGCUUUACACAUGCAAGUCGAACGGCAGCGCGGGCUUCGGCCUGGCGGCGAGUGGCGAACGGGUGAGUAAUGCAUCGGAACGUGCCCAGUAGUGGGGGAUAGCCCGGCGAAAGCCGGAUUAAUACCGCAUACGACCUGAGGGUGAAAGCGGGGGACCGAAAGGCCUCGCGCUAUUGGAGCGGCCGAUGUCGGAUUAGCUAGUUGGUGGGGUAAAGGCUUACCAAGGCGACGAUCCGUAGCUGGUCUGAGAGGACGACCAGCCACACUGGGACUGGGACACGGCCCAGACUCCUACGGGAGGCAGCAGUGGGGAAUUUUGGACAAUGGGGGCAACCCUGAUCCAGCCAUGCGGCGUGCGGGAAGAAGGCCUUCGGGUUGUAAACCGCUUUUGUUCGGGAAGAAAUCCUCUGGGCUAAUACCCCGGGGGGAUGACGGUACCGGAAGAAUAAGCACCGGCUAACUACGU